AGAGUUUGAUCCUGGCUCAGGACGAACGCUGGCGGCGUGCCUAAUACAUGCAAGUCGAGCGCGGGAAGCUAACAGAUCUCUUCGGAGUGACGUUAGUGGAACGAGCGGCGGACGGGUGAGUAACACGUGGGCAACCUGCCUGUAAGACUGGGAUAACUCCGGGAAACCGGGGCUAAUACCGGAUAAUCUUUCGCACCGCCUGGUGCGAAGGUAAAAGAUGGUUCUGCCAUCACUUACAGAUGGGCCCGCGGCGCAUUAGUUAGUUGGUGAGGUAAUGGCUCACCAAGACAUCGAUGCGUAGCCGACCUGAGAGGGUGAUCGGCCACACUGGGACUGAGACACGGCCCAGACUCCUACGGGAGGCAGCAGUAGGGAAUCUUCCGCAAUGGACGAAAGUCUGACGGAGCAACGCCGCGUGAGUGAUGAAGGUUUUCGGAUCGUAAAGCUCUGUUGUCGGAGAAGAACAGGUGUGAGAGGAAAUGCUCAUGCCAUGACGGUAUCUGACCAGAAAGCCACGGCUAACUACGUGCCAGCAGCCGCGGUAAUACGUAGGUGGCAAGCGUUGUCCGGGAAUUAUUGGGCGUAAAGCGCGCGCAGGCGGCUUCUUAAGUCUGAUGUGAAAGCCCACGGCUCAACCGUGGAGGGUCAUUGGAAACUGGGGAGCUUGAGUGCAGGAGAGGAGAGUGGAAUUCCAUGUGUAGCGGUGAAAUGCGUAGAUAUAUGGAGGAACACCAGUGGCGAAGGCGGCUCUCUGGCCUGUAACUGACGCUGAGGCGCGAAAGCGUGGGGAGCAAACAGGAUUAGAUACCCUGGUAGUCCACGCCGUAAACGAUGAGUGCUAGGUGUUAGGGGGGUCCAACCCCUUAGUGCUGAAGUUAACACAUUAAGCACUCCGCCUGGGGAGUACGACCGCAAGGUUGAAACUCAAAGGAAUUGACGGGGGCCCGCACAAGCAGUGGAGCAUGUGGUUUAAUUCGAAGCAACGCGAAGAACCUUACCAGGUCUUGACAUCCUCUGACAACUCUAGAGAUAGAGCGUUCCCCUUCGGGGGACAGAGUGACAGGUGGUGCAUGGUUGUCGUCAGCUCGUGUCGUGAGAUGUUGGGUUAAGUCCCGCAACGAGCGCAACCCUUGAUCUUAGUUGCCAGCAUUUAGUUGGGCACUCUAAGGUGACUGCCGGUGACAAACCGGAGGAAGGUGGGGAUGACGUCAAAUCAUCAUGCCCCUUAUGACCUGGGCUACACACGUGCUACAAUGGGUGGUACAAAGGGCAGCGACACCGCGAGGUGAAGCGAAUCCCAUAAAGCCACUCUCAGUUCGGAUUGCAGGCUGCAACUCGCCUGCAUGAAGCCGGAAUUGCUAGUAAUCGCGGAUCAGCAUGCCGCGGUGAAUCCGUUCCCGGGCCUUGUACACACCGCCCGUCACACCACGAGAGUUUGUAACACCCGAAGUCGGUGCGAGAACCUUUAUGGACUCAGCCGCCGAAGGUGGGACAGAUGAUUGGGGUGAAGUCGUAACAAGGUAGCCGUAUCGGAAGGUGCGGCUGGAUCACCUCCUU
rnacentral:rRNA from 1 species